rnacentral:rRNA from 1 species
UUGAACGCUGGCGGCAUGCCUAACACAUGCAAGUCGAACGGCAGCAUGAUGUGUAGCAAUACACAUUGAUGGCGAGUGGCGGACGGGUGAGUAACGCGUGGGAAUCUGCCCUAAAGUGGGGGACAACCCGAGGAAACUCGGGCUAAUACCGCAUACGCCCUUCGGGGGAAAGGCUUCGGCCGCUUUUGGAUGAGCCCGCGUCGGAUUAGCUUGUUGGUGAGGUAACGGCUCACCAAGGCGACGAUCCGUAGCUGGUCUGAGAGGACGACCAGCCACACUGGGACUGAGACACGGCCCAGACUCCUACGGGAGGCAGCAGUGGGGAAUAUUGCACAAUGGGCGAAAGCCUGAUGCAGCAAUGCCGCGUGUGUGAAGAAGGCCUGCGGGUUGUAAAGCACUUUCGGUAGGAAAGAUUAUGACGGUACCUACAGAAGAAGCACCGGCUAACUCCGU